rnacentral:rRNA from 1 species
UACGUAGGUGGCGAGCGUUUGUCCGGGAAUUACUGGGUGUAAAGCGCGUGUAGGCGGCUUGGCAAGUCGGGUGUGAAAGCCCUGGGCUCAACCUAGGAAGUGCACUCGAAACUGCCUCGCUUGAAUGCCGGAGAGGAAAGCGGAAUUCUCGGUGUAGAGGUGAAAUUCGUAGAUAUCGAGAGGAACACCGGUGGCGAAGGCGGCUUUCUGGACGGUGAUUGACGCUGAGACGCGAAAGCGUGGGGGAGCAAACAGG